rnacentral:rRNA from 1 species
GACGAGGGAUCCUAGCGUUGUUCGGAAUUACUGGGCGUAAAGCGUGCGCAGGCGGUUUUGUAAGUUUGUCGUGAAAGCCCCGGGCUCAACCUGGGAAUUGCGAUGAAGACUGCAAGGCUUGAAUCUGGCAGAGGGGGGUAGAAUUCCACGUGUAGCAGUGAAAUGCGUAGAGAUGUGGAGGAACACCGAUGGCGAAGGCAGCCCCCUGGGUCAAGAUUGACGCUCAUGCACGAAAGCGUGGGGAGCAAACAGG